UACGAAGGGGGCUAGCGUUGUUCGGAAUUACUGGGCGUAAAGCGCACGUAGGCGGAUCGAUCAGUCAGGGGUGAAAUCCCAGGGCUCAACCCUGGAACUGCCUUUGAUACUGUCGAUCUGGAGUAUGGAAGAGGUGAGUGGAAUUCCGAGUGUAGAGGUGAAAUUCGUAGAUAUUAGGAGGAAUACCGGUGGCGAAGGCGGCCUUCUGGACCAUUCCUGACACUGAGACGCGAAAGCGUGGGUAGCAAACAGG
rnacentral:rRNA from 1 species